GCUAAGUCAGGGCGGGGAGCGGGGGUAAUACUGAGGUGUGAAGGGUUGUUGGGAAUGACUGGGCGUAAAGGGUGCGUAGGUGGCGUGGUAAUUCAGAUGUGAAAGCCCGGGGCUCAACCUCGGAACUGCAUCCGAUACUACCAUGCUAGAGUACUGAAGAGGUGACUAGAAUUCUAGGUGUAGCAGUGAAAUGCGUAGAUAUCUAGAGGAAUACCAAAGGCGAAGGCAGGUCACUGGGCAGUUACUGACACUGAGGCACGAAGGCCAGGGGAGCGAACGGGAUUAGAUACCCUGGUAGUC
rnacentral:rRNA from 1 species